rnacentral:rRNA from 1 species
ACCCGCUGAACUUAAGCAUAUCAAUAAGCGGAGGAAAAGAAACCAACAGGGAUUGCCUCAGUAACGGCGAGUGAAGCGGCAACAGCUCAAAUUUGAAAUCUGGCCCCAGGCCCGAGUUGUAAUUUGCAGAGGAUGCUUUUGGCGCGGUGCCUUCCGAGUUCCCUGGAACGGGACGCCAUAGAGGGUGAGAGCCCCGUACGGUUGGACACCAAGCCUUUGUAAAGCUCCUUCGACGAGUCGAGUAGUUUGGGAAUGCUGCUCUAAAUGGGAGGUAUAUUUCUUCUAAAGCUAAAUAUAGGCCAGAGACCGAUAGCGCACAAGUAGAGUGAUCGAAAGAUGAAAAGCACUUUGAAAAGAGGGUUAAACAGCACGUGAAAUUGUUAAAAGGGAAGCGCUUGUGACCAGACUUGCGUCCGGUGAAUCACCCAGCUCUCGCGGCUGGGGCACUUUGCCGGCACAGGCCAGCAUCAGCUCGCUGUCGGGGACAAAAGCUUCGGGAACGUAGCUCUCUUCGGGGAGUGUUAUAGCCCGUUGCAUAAUACCCUUCGGUGGGCUGAGGUACGCGCUCCGCAAGGAUGCUGGCGUAAUGGUCAUCAGCGACCCGUCUUGAAACACGGACCAAGGAGUCAACCUUAUGUGCGAGUGUUUGGGUGUUAAACCCCUACGCGUAAUGAAAGUGAACGCAGGUGAGAGCUUCGGCGCAUCAUCGACCGAUCCUGAUGUUCUCGGAUGGAUUUGAGUAAGAGCAUAUAGGGUUGGACCCGAAAGAAGGUGAACUAUGCGUGUAUAGGGUGAAGCCAGAGGAAACUCUGGUGGAGGCUCGCAGCGGUUCUGACGUGCAAAUCGAUCGUCAAA